ensembl:lncRNA
GGGUGCCCGUGUUUUCGGAGUUGGAGUUGUACCUGGUAGGUUCAUUGAUAAUUUGUGUGAGAUUGAGGGCAUCAAGCUUGGAUUGUAGGAUGGCUGGGGUGUUAAGCAUGUCCCAGUUUAUGUCACCUAGUAGCACGAGCUCAGAAGAUAGAUGGGGGGCAAUCAAUUCACAUAUGGUGUCGAGGGCACAGCUGGGGGCAGAGGGAGGUCUAUUGCAAGCGGCAACAGUGAGAGACUUGUUUCUGGAAAGGUUAAUUUUUAGUAGAAGCUCGAAUUGUUUGGGUACAGAACUCUGCAGGCUUUCUUUGCAGUAGAUUGCAACACCGACCCCUUUGGCAGUUUUAUCUUGACGGAAAAUGCUAUAGUUAGCGAUGGAGAUUUCAAGGUUUUUGGUGGUUUUCCUAAGCCAGGAUUCAGACACGACUAAGACAUCCAGGUUGGCAGAGUGUGCUAAAGCAGUGAGUAAAUAAUAUAUGAACUGGCCGUCUAGCACGUUCGGAAGAGAGUAAAGGGAGCAGGUUUCUGGGCACGAUAGCAUAGAUUAAAGACAUAGUGUACAGACAAAGGUAAGGUAGGAUGUGAGUACAUUGGAGGUAAAUCUAGGCAUUGAGUAAUGAUGAGAGAGAUAUAGUCUCUAGAGAUGUUUAAACCAGGUGAUGUCAUCGUAUAUGUAGGAGGUGGAACAACAUGGUUGGUUAAGGCCUAUUGAGCAGGGCUAGAGGCUCUACAGUAAAAUAAGACCACAAUCACUAACCUGGACAGUAAUGGGCGAGGCAUAUUGAUAUUAGAGAGAGGCAUGCAUAGCCAAGUGAACAUAUGGGUCCAGUGAGUGGUUGGGCUGACUGGGAACAUGGCGAUUCAGACAGUUAGCAGGCCGAUGCUAACAGUUAGUAGGCCGGGGCUAAACAAGCUAGCAGUUAGCAGACCGGGUUAGCAAGCAAGCAGUUAGCAGGGGAUAGCAGUUAGUAGACCGGGGCUAGCAAGUUAGCCUUUGGGGGACGUCGCGGUGGGGGUAAGUCUGUUUUUGCCGAUACACCAGUGAUCUGAGAUCACUUGAAAAGUUGAAAAUCUGCCACAGAAGAGGCAUCAAGCUAACCACACUGCCAAAGACCUUGUCGAAACUAAGAUGUUUGAAAGAACUGGACUUCUCAGACAACGUAGGGUAGCAGAUUCCUGAGAGCAUCGGAUUCCUGAGAACAGGCAUCCCAGAAGGAAAAAACCAUGCAGGCCCUGACUCUGUGGAUAGACUUAUUCCAUAGUGACCAGAAGGCAUCUGUCAUAGCUGACCAACUUGUGAGGACUCUGAUCUUGGUAGGCCUAUACACACUCUACUCUCAGGUCCAGGCCAUCAAGAUAUAUGCCAAAGCCAGGAGACAAUGAAUACACUAUGCCAAAUGUGCUAUAUGAAUAGAGGUACGCCUUCAUGACAGUUCAUGACAUUGUGAAGUUGGAAAGUGAGAGGAGUCAUUUGUUUUUCAUAAAUGUACAUUUACCAAGUGAAUCCAUACCAAAGUAUUGAUUAUUGUUUGACCAUGAGAAUAAAUGCAAUUGGAUAUGCAUCAA